AUACGAAGGGGGCUAGCGUUGUUCGGAAUUACUGGGCGUAAAGCGCGCGUAGGCGGACUGAUCAGUUGGGGGUGAAAUCCUAGGGCUUAACCCUGGAACUACCUCCAAUACUGUCAGUCUUGAGUUCGGGAGAGGUGAGUGGAAUUCCUAGUGCAGAGGUGAAAUUCGUAGAUAUUAGGAAGAACACCAGUGGCGAAGGCGGCUCACUGGCCCGAUACUGACGCUGAGGCGCGAAAGCGUGGGGAGCAAACAGGAUUAGAAACCCUUGUAGUCC
rnacentral:rRNA from 1 species